AUGCAAGUUCACAGUAAAAGCCAGGUGAUAGGGGUUCGCAGGAAGCUGGCAGCAGACUCAAAACAAAGUCCAGAAAUUAUGAAGAAAAGAUUAGAUUUCAACUCUAAAUCUGCUAAAGUUGAGAAAGUGGAGUCUAAGCCUGUGAGGGUUAAAGGCACACCCACAGGAAUCAGUUCGCCAGGUAAACUCAGUCAUACAGACUCAGCAAGCUUUCACCUGAGUGACACUUUGGAUGAAGAGAGCAUAGUGGGCUCUCAGCAGGUUUCUGAGGUGAAAAAAACUCCCAAAUCUAAAGAGAAGAAAACAGAUUUGUCUAAGAAAAACAAGAAUGAAAAAAACAUGAAAGACGCUCAAAUCAAAAGAGGGUCAGAGGUUCAGAAAAAGUCAACAGAUCUCAGCCUGGUUGUUGGAGCUGCUUCACUCGCCGCAGGAGCAGCUUUGAUCCAAGCUGGAAGACGAUUAAGCUCCACAUCCCUUUCUGAGAACAGCUGUGCUGUACUUAAAGAGAGUGUGACUAAAUCACUGAGUGAGGAAUCUGAAUCUUACGCUGCCAAUUUUAGCCACAAAUCUGCUGUCAGCAUCAACAUCAUACCCGCACCUGAAAGUCCUGAAAUGAGGACAAUCUCAGAUCAAAGUGAACAGAUGGACUCUGCCGCAAUCAAAGAGGAAGAGGAGGAUAAUGAGGAAGCGGUUGAAGAGGAAGAAGGGCAGACAGAUGCAGAAGUAAGCGAGGAAGAGGAGGAUGUUAGUCACAUUAUUAAGAAAGUGGCAGAGAACGCUGAGGAUGAAAAAGAGAGUGACACUCUUCAAUCUGGAGAGAAGUCAGACAGCGAUGUAGAUGAGGAGGAGGAUGAGAGCAAUGUUGUGGUAGAAGAUGAAGAAGAGGAGGAGGAAAAGAGUGGAGUAACAGAAAGUGAAAGCAAAGCAGAGACUGAAGAGAAAGACAGAAACGGAGGGGUUGUAGAAGAAGAGGAGGCGGAGGAAGAGGAAAGUGAGGAAGGGUCAAGUCACGAAACAGAGAGCAAACGUGGAGAUACUGAAAGUGACUUGGAAGAAGGGGACGAGGAAGAAGAAGGGAGUUUGGAGAGUGAGGGUGAAGAAGAGGAGGUUGAAAGUGAGUCUGUGAGGUCUUCAGAGAGAGAAGAAAGUGAGGAAGAGAGGGAGACCGAAGAAGGAGAAGAUGAAAAAGAGGAGGAAGAAAAGGGUAGUGCUGAAGAAGUAGAAGAGAGUAGUGAAGAGGAAAACAGUGAAAUUGAGGAAGAAGAGGAGGAGGAACAAAGUGGGGAAAAGGAGGAAGAGACAGAGGAUGAGGAGGAGGAAGAAGAAAAAGAAGAGGAUGAACAAAGUGAGGAAAAGGAGGAAGAGACAGAGGAUGAAGAGGAGGCAGAAGAAAAAGAAGAGGAAGAAAGUGAGGAAAAGGAGGAAGAGACAGAGGAUGAGGAGGAGGAAGAAGAAGAAGGAGAAGAGGAGGAAGAAAGUGAGGAAAAGGAGGCUGAAGCGGAAGAUGAGGAGGACCAGAGUGAGGAAGAAGAAGAACAGGAAGAAGAAGAAGAGGAAGAGAAGGAAGAUGAAGAAGAAGAAGAAGAAGAGGAGAAGGCUGUCAAAAAGAAAAGGUCUGCUGAAGUGAAAAGAAUAAGUGCUAAAUCAGCAACUAGAAGCAAACUAAGGUUAGGAGUCAAAGGUCAGGCGGCAGGUGAGUCAGAGGAGUUCUGGGAUGAUGUUUUACCUCAAUACCUCAAUCUGAAAUAA
rnacentral:lncRNA from 1 species